rnacentral:lncRNA from 1 species
AUGGAGGAGGAAGAGGUGGUUACGGUGGAGGUGAUGGAUAUAAUGGCUACGGAGGGAAUGGUGGCUAUGGUGGAGGUGGACCUAAUUACGGAGGCAACCGCGGUUAUGGAGGAGGCGGCGGAGGUGGUGGUGGUGGUGGCUAUGGAAACCAGGGUGGAGGCUACGGUGGCGGCGGUGGCUAUGAUAACUACAACAGUGGAGGUGGAGGCAACUUCGGAGGAGGCAACUUUGGAGGUGGCGGGGGCUACAACGACUUCGGCAGCUACAACAAUCAAUCUUCCUCUAACUACGGCCCAUACGGCGGUGGUUAUGGAGGAGGCUCUGGUGGUGGUUAUGGAGGAGGCUCUGGUGGGCGAAGGUUUUAGAUUCCAGGGCCACAGUACUUAGAGGAGAGCCAGAGAGAGAUGACAGGGAAAGGAGAGAAGCAAGCAG